rnacentral:rRNA from 1 species
AUUGAACGCUGGCGGCAUGCCUUACACAUGCAAGUCGAGCGGCAGCACGGGAGCAAUCCUGGUGGCGAGUGGCGAACGGGUGAGUAAAGUAUCGGAACGUGCCCAGUCGUGGGGGAUAACGUAGCGAAAGUUACGCUAAUACCGCAUACGAUCUAUGGAUGAAAGCGGGGGAUCGCAAGACCUCGCGCGAUUGGAGCGGCCGAUAUCAGAUUAGGUAGUUGGUGGGGUAAAGGCUCACCAAGCCGACGAUCUGUAGCUGGUCUGAGAGGACGGCCAGCCACACUGGGACUGAGACACGGCCCAGACUCCUACGGGAGGCAGCAGUGGGGAAUUUUGGACAAUGGGCGAAAGCCUGAUCCAGCCAUGCCGCGUGCAGGAUGAAGGCCUUCGGGUUGUAAACUGCUUUUGUACGGAACGAAAAGGUUUGGCCUAAUAAGCUGAGCUCAUGACGGUACCGUAAGAAUAAGCACCGGCUAACUACGUGCCAGCCGCCGCAGUAA